GGUCAAAUAUAAUACACUUGGGUGCCAUUUCAGACGCUAGAAAACCCAGGCAAGACAUAGAAAGAUGAUUGGAUCAUAGAUAGAUUCUCCAGAAAGAAAGAUGAUUGGAUCAUAGAUAGAUUCUCCAGAAAGAAAAAAAAAACUAUUUGAAGGCAACAUCAUCAGGCUAAAAGACAAUAUGAUCAUUACUGAAAAAACAUGAUACUUUUUUUUCUCUUUUUACACAUAUAAUCAUCACUGUUGUAUCCACAGGUUUACUUCUCAAAUAAAACUCACAUAUAAUAAUAACUGGUUGUAGCCACAGGUUUACUCCUCAAAAUAAAACUCAUAUCAAUAGCUGUCGCAGUAUAGCAUCUCUCAGUAGAGACAAAACUAGUCAUUUAAAAAAAAGACAGAAGAAGACAGAGAAAUGAUGUUGAAUGAUCGAAGGAAAAUAAAAAAAGUUAGAAAAUAAACCCCAGGAGCAAGUUAUCUGUAUGAACUGAACUAUAUAGGGUGCCUCUUUGGGACUUUGUCUUUUUCUCUCUGGCUAAUAUAGAGGUGCUUAUAAAUACCGCAUCACCGUGGCAACGUGCACAUUCUGGUUAGACAUCCGUUUCUACGGCUACUGUCUCCGUUAGCAAUAACACUGUGUGUAGGAAUCGGGAUUUUAUUUUGGUUCAUAUUGACUGAUUUACCUAUUUCAUUUUACUUUAUUUUAUGAACGUAAUCUUUCCAUUUCAGUUGCAUACAGUUGGAAUAUCUAUAUUUCUAAGUAGAAAUCUUGUUCUCGUGACACUGGAGAGUGAUAAUGGUUAAUCUGUGUGUAAAAACUGAUGUAUUGUAGCUUUGAAUCCAUUGGUCGGUUUGUUUGUUGGUUGUUAAAGGGGCGUCACCACACAGGAAAGUCCAUUCCAUGUUAGGUUUUAGUAACGUCGGAAUGCUGGCACUGCUGAGAGAGACAGCAGCAAAUCAGACCUGAGAGAGAGAGAGAGAGAGAGAGAGAGAGAGAGAGAGAGAGAGAGAAGGUGGGUAGAGAGAGAGA
ensembl:lncRNA